GUCAGACUCCAACCUCAACAGAGAUAAAUAAAAGCCCUUAGAUAUUGCAGCAAUAGGAACAACUAGUGAUAACAUACAUUUGGAAUGUCAGAGUCAUCCCCUUUUCCAGAUCCCAGCGUAUACUCACUGCACCAGAGCAGAAGACCACAGAACCCCUCACUGUUAUCUUGUUCCUGACAUACCAUCUCUAUGUGCUGUAAAUGGUAAUUAACAAUCCUGUUCCCACCAAUGUAAAAGAGAUGGUAUGUCCUGAAAAAGAAUUCAAGAUUUAUGCUUUGAGGAACUAGAACUUUC